GACGAACGCUGGCGGCGUGCUUAACACACGCAAGUCGAACGGAAAGGCCCUGCUUUUGUGGGGUGCUCGAGUGGCGAACGGGUGAGUAACACGUGAGUAACCUGCCCUUGACUUUGGGAUAACUUCAGGAAACUGGGGCUAAUACCGGAUAGGAGCUCCUGCUGCAUGGUGGGGGUUGGAAAGUUUCGGCGGUUGGGGAUGGACUCGCGGGUUAUCAGCUUGUUGGUGGGGUAGUGGCUUACCAAGGCUUUGACGGGUAGCCGGCCUGAGAGGGUGACCGGCCACAUUGGGACUGAGAGACGGCCCAGACGCCUACGGGAGGCAGCAGUGGGGAAUAUUGCACAAUGGGCGGAAGCCUGAUGCAGCAACGCCGCGUGCGGGAUGACGGCCUUCGGGUUGUAAACCGCUUUCGCCUGUGACGAAGCGUGAGUGACGGUAAUGGGUAAAGAAGCACCGGCUAACUACGUG
rnacentral:rRNA from 1 species